rnacentral:rRNA from 1 species
GACGAACGCUGGCGGCGUGCUUAACACAUGCAAGUCGAACGGAAAGGCCCUGCUUGCAGGGUGCUCGAGUGGCGAACGGGUGAGUAACACGUGGGUGAUCUGCCCCUUACUUUGGGAUAAGCCUGGGAAACUGGGUCUAAUACUGGAUAGGACCAUGCUGUAGGUGGUGUGGUGGAAAGAUUAGUUUCGGUAAGGGAUGAGCUCGCGGCCUAUCAGCUUGUUGGUGGGGUAAUGGCCUACCAAGGCGUCGACGGGUAGCCGGCCUGAGAGGGAGGACGGCCACAUUGGGACUGAGAUACGGCCCAGACUCCUACGGGAGGCAGCAGUGGGGAAUAUUGCACAAUGGGCGCAAGCCUGAUGCAGCGACGCCGCGUGGGGGAUGACGGCCUUCGGGUUGUAAACUCCUUUCAGCCAUGACGAAGCCCUUGUGGUGACGGUAGUGGUAGAAGAAGCACCGGCUAACUACGUG